AGAUUAAUGGCUUGUGAAAAUUCAGACAUAGCACCUGAGCAGCAUUUCCCAAUUCCUGAACACGAGAAUCCUUUCAAUAAAGAAGCAAGCAUAGAUGUUCUCUACGGCAAAUAGUGCUGAUCAAUGAAGGUCUUUCUAGGGAAGCAAGCCACUGUAUUUCAGCAAGAACACAGAGGAGGGAGUGAAUAAUUGUGACAUGUUACUUGGAGAUGCAUCAGGACAAGAGCCACUGGAGAUACUUUACUGCAAGGCUCCAACAAUGUCCCUAAGAGGCUUCAUCUUGGCCGAGAAUCUUCCAUUAAAAGCUGUUGGUUGGAUGAGUGGCAGCUUCCGAGCAAAGUUUCUGAGACGUAGAUCUGGCCAUCGUCUGUAAGAUGCACUGCAAUAGGUCAGUAUGAGCUUCAGAGAGACUGUGCUGAUUGAUGCACAGUAGACAGUGGUACCCAAUUCCCUUCUCUCUGAGCUAACACUGCUUAGAGGAACCUCUUAUAAUCUGUCUUGGUAGCUCAGACAAGUAUUUGGUUGUAUGAGAAAAACCUGGUUGGUUAGCUCUGGCGACUAGGCUAACUUACUCACUCAGAAAACUCACUGAAUAAUGUCAUGCUGAAUUUUUAGCAUUUCAUACUUUUAGCACCCCUUGUCUGUAAGCAUAAAAUCAUCUUGGGAUAACAUUUUCAUAGACUUAAUCUAGCCCUAGACUCUGACGGGCCUCUUGAUCCAUGCAUUUGCAUCCCCUGGUAGAGAAGAAAAUAUUACAAAGACUAAUGAAAGGCCACAGAGAUUGAAGACACUCCUUGGUAAAAACACAUUGUCCUCAGAAGGCAGCAGGGCCCCAAAUCCAUAGUGAAAUGAGAUGUAUCUCACCAGAUGUCUAUGAAGAACACUAACACAACAUUUAGUUAUGGAAACUAAUGCAAUGACAGUAGAGCCACCUGGUAGAUUUUAGGACUGACAACAUGAAGUCUUUUGUGGUUUUAAAAUAUAGGGGAUCAAAAAAGUGUAGGGGAUCCCUAGGUGACUCAGCAGUUUAGCACCUACCUUCGGCCCAGGGCGUGAUCCUGGAGACCUGGGAUGGAGUCCCACAUAGGGCUCCCUGCAUGGAGCCUGCUUCUCCCUCUGCCUGUGUCUCUGCCUGUCUCUUUCUUUCUGUGUCUCUCAUGAAUAAAUAAAUAAAAUCUUUUAAAAAAUAAAAAAUA
rnacentral:lncRNA from 1 species